rnacentral:pre_miRNA from 1 species
GGUGGGUAUGUUUCUAGUGCAUGCAUGAGGUUGUUUAUAAGAACCAUGACUAGAUCCAUACUCAUCU